rnacentral:tRNA from 1 species
GGGCUUGUAGCUCAGUUGGGAGAGCGCUGCGUUCGCAACGCAGAGGUCGAGGGUUCGAUCCCCUUCAGGUCCACCA